rnacentral:miRNA from 1 species
GUGUGUGUGUGUGUGUGUGUGUGUGUGUGUGUGUUAUAUAUAUAUAUAUAUAUAUAUAUAUACACGCACACACACACACAUACGCAUAA